rnacentral:rRNA from 7 species
CAAAACUUUCAACAACGGAUCUCUUGGUUCUGGCAUCGAUGAAGAACGCAGCGAAAUGCGAUAAGUAAUGUGAAUUGCAGAAUUCAGUGAAUCAUCGAAUCUUUGAACGCACAUUGCGCCCGCCAGUAUUCUGGCGGGCAUGCCUGUUCGAGCGUCAUUUCAACCCUC